rfam:Picea glauca, whole genome shotgun sequence.
GGGCAUUUGUUCUAGUGGUAUGAUUCUUGCUUCAGGUGCGAGAGGUCCCGAGUUCAAUUCUUAGAAUGCCCC